GACGAACGCUGGCGGCGGGCUUAACACAUGCCAGUCGAACGGAAAGGCCCUGCUUUUGUGGGGUGCUCGAGUGGCGAACGGGGGAGUAACACGUGAGUAACCUGCCCUUGACUUUGGGAUAACUUCAGGAAACUGGGGCAAUUCCGGGUAAGGAUUUCUCGCUGUUGGGGGGGGUUGGGAAUGUUUGGGCGGUUGGGGUUGGUCACGGGGCUUAUAGGCUUGGUGGUGGGGUAGUGGUGUACCAAGGCUUUGACGGGUUGCCGGCCUGAGAGGGUGACCGGCCACAUUGGGACUGAGAUACGGCACAGACUCCUACGGGAGGCAGCAGUGGGGAAUAUUGCACAAUGGGCGGAAGCCUGAUGCAGCAACGCCGCGUGCGGGAUGACGGCCUUCGGGUUGUAAACCGCUUUCGCCUGUGACGAAGCGUGAGUGACGGUAAUGGGUAAAGAAGCACCGGCUAACUACGUG
rnacentral:rRNA from 1 species